CCUACGGGCGGCAGCAGUGGGGGAUAUUGCACAAUGGGGGGAACCCUGAUGCAGCGACGCCGCGUGGGUGAAGGAGCGUUUCGGCGCGUAAAGCCCUAUCGGCAGGGAAGAAGAUGACGGUACCUGACCAAGAAGCCCCGGCUAACUACGUGCCAGCAGCCGCGGUAAUACGUAGGGGGCAAGCGUUAUCCGGAUUUAUUGGGUUUAAAGGGUGCGUAGGCGGAAGGUUAAGUCAGCGGUCAAAUGUCGGUGCUCAACACCGGCCUGCCGUUGAAACUGGUCUUCUUGAGUGAGCGAGAAGUAUGCGGAAUGCGUGGUGUAGCGGUGAAAUGCAUAGAUAUCACGCAGAACUCCGAUUGCGAAGGCAGCAUACCGGCGCUCAACUGACGCUGAGGCACGAAAGCGUGGGGAUCGAACAGGAUUAGAUACCCUUGUAGUC
rnacentral:rRNA from 1 species